UACGAAGGGGGCUAGCGUUGCUCGGAAUUACUGGGCGUAAAGGGCGCGUAGGCGGAUCAGCAAGUUGGGGGUGAAAGCCCGGGGCUCAACCUCGGAAUUGCCUUCAAAACUGCUGAUCUAGAGUACGGGAGAGGUGUGUGGAACUCCGAGUGUAGAGGUGAAAUUCGUAGAUAUUCGGAAGUACACCAGUGGCGAAGGCGGCUCACUGGCCCGGUACUGACGCUGAGGUGCGAAAGCGUGGGGAGCAAACAGG
rnacentral:rRNA from 1 species